AUUGAACGCUGGCGGCAGGCCUAACACAUGCAAGUCGAGCGGAUGAAGGGAGCUUGCUCCUGGAUUCAGCGGCGGACGGGUGAGUAAUGCCUAGGAAUCUGCCUGGUAGUGGGGGAUAACGUCCGGAAACGGGCGCUAAUACCGCAUACGUCCUGAGGGAGAAAGUGGGGGAUCUUCGGACCUCACGCUAUCAGAUGAGCCUAGGUCGGAUUAGCUAGUUGGUGGGGUAAAGGCCUACCAAGGCGACGAUCCGUAACUGGUCUGAGAGGAUGAUCAGUCACACUGGAACUGAGACACGGUCCAGACUCCUACAGGAGGCAGCAGUGGGGAAUAUUGGACAAUGGGCGAAAGCCUGAUCCAGCCAUGCCGCGUGUGUGAAGAAGGUCUUCGGAUUGUAAGGCACUUUAAGUUGGGAGGAAGGGCAGUAAGUUAAUACCUUGCUGUUUUGACGUUACCAACAGAAUAAGCACCGGCUAACUUCGUG
rnacentral:rRNA from 1 species